GUUACGACAUUGCCGCUGGCCCGGAUUCGGAAUACUGCUCAGAAUUACUAAAACGGCGAUCAUGCAUUGGGAUGUUACGAGCUGCAAACGUAAUGCAAGAAAAGCAGAAGCCCGGAUAUGAUUUUCUAUUAUCCCACAGGCUAUCAUUCUAUAAUGCUAGAACGAUUAUGCGUGCACGAUCUGGAGAAAAGCAGACACUCAGCUUUGGCUUGAGUGCCUGCCUCAUGUACCCGUCAAUCGGUACCGUCGCUGACAAAGGCGUUGAACCGCUGUCUCCACUGCCGCGUACACAACUAUCCCGCAGGCAUUCUCCACUUUCCCUUCGUCGGUUAAAAAACACCGACAAUCAUCGCCAAAAUCAUUCGGAGUACGUACGAACGAUACGGUAUUCUGCUCAUCUGCUGAACUGUAUGACGGUGGUGGAAAAUCGGCGUAACGUCGAUAUCUGAACCGUUCCCACACCCGCUGGAAUUACUCUCGCUGGUCAAACUCACCGUUAUCGGAUGAGCUUCCUGGGAACGGAAUUAUUAUCCGGAACAAGAACGACGGCCGAGCGGAAAAUGUGCUACAGAGUGCUCAAGCAGACCAGCCGCAGUUUGCUGCGCCCAUCAUGGCUGUUCAGAGCAUAGCUAAUCAUUUGCUGUGUUAGAUGCUCAAAAUAAUUAACCAUCACACAUUCGUUAAUUUGCUGUUGCACACGUUUAUGACAAUAUUUUGCGUCCGGGUGCAUGGCAACAUGUUCCAGCACAACUGCAUGAUUUAUCACUGACAUACAGUAUUAUAGCUUGGUUGCAAAUUAUUUAAGGACCACGACGCUCAUGUCGCGUCGUGGCAUUUUGCUAGCUGCUGCGCUCCUUUCACCUACGUCUCCACAUUCCCGAUUGGAACUAUUCCCGACACUCACGACAAGAACGCCGUUGUCCUGUACAUUAUUUAUGACUGUGUGUGAUUGCAGAUCCCAGUGCAGUUCCCUGUGCGGCGGGAAAGUACCAGCACAUCAUCAGUUGUUGUCAGUGCGUGGCAUUGGGUACGGCUGAGGUUCUGGAUGUCAGUAUCGCUGUGGACACUCACCAAUAUUUCGACCAGGUUCGAUAACGAAAGAAAGCCGGCACUUUUGUCAGUACUGUCACUACGCAGCCGGUCUGGUAGGCAUGGGCCUGUCGCGUGUCUUCAGCCGCAAUGGGUCUGUUUCUACAAAAGGUCAACUUCCUCCGCCACGUUCACGAAGAUGUCAACACACAGGGAAGAUGGUAGCCACGGCCGACAUACGGCGCCCCGUCGACUGCGGAACAAUUGUGCGGAUGUUGCUGGCAGCGGCCAGGUCCAAUUGUCCGGCGGUUGGUCAGCAUUUAUACGAAAAGGUCAUCGCUAUGCACGCGCGCUGGUUGCGGGCGCUGGUCUAUCCGGAUCAGCGGAGCUGUAUUCGCAGUUUUCUAUAGCUGUGGAAGUUGUAACUGCCAUCGUGUGGAUCAUAAUCCGCACCGGUGGGACACGAUGGAUCUCCGACAACUGGACAUUGCCUCCAUUCCCAGUGUGACAAUUGCGGCCCUUGAUAGUUGGUUCAAAGACUGAAGCCCGUGUGAACGACACUAUCAUCUAUCCCAGGAUCUAUAUCGUAAUAUGGCUGGUGUAGUCCUGGUGUCGGUAGUUCUUUUGCAUACUGAUGCUAAUGUGCUUUUGCUGAAGGUUGGGCCCGUCUGUGAUUUUUAUAUAAUUGUGUAGGUGGGUGUUUUUAUAUAAUUAUAUAAUUGUGUAA